GAUGAAGAACGUAGCGAAAUGCGAUAAGUAAUGUGAAUUGCAGAAUUCAGUGAAUCAUCGAAUCUUUGAACGCACAUUGCGCCCCCUGGUAUUCCGGGGGACAUGCCUGUUCGAGCGUCAUUUCACCACUCAAGCCUCGCUUGGUAUUGGGCAACGCGGUCCGCCGCGUGCCUCAUAUCGUCCGGCUGGGUCUUCUGUCCCCUAAGCGUUGUGGAAACUAUUCGCUAAAGGGUGUUCGGGAGGCUACGCCGUAAAACAACCCCAUUUCUAAGGUUGACCUCGGAUCAGGUAGGGAUACCCGCUGAACUUAAGCAUAUCAAUAAGCGGAGGA
rnacentral:misc_RNA from 1 species